CAGCCCUUGACAUGUCCAGGACCGGCACCAGAGAUGGAGCCUUCUCUUCGGAGCCUGGAGCACAGGUGCUGCAUGGCUGUCGUCAGCUCGUGUCGUGAGAUGUUGGGUUAAGUCCCGCAACGAGCGCAACCCCCGUCUUUAGUUGCUACCAUUUAGUUGAGCACUCUAAAGAGACUGCCGGUGAUAAGCCGCGAGGAAGGUGGGGAUGACGUCAAGUCCUCAUGGCCCUUACGGGCUGGGCUACACACGUGCUACAAUGGCGGUGACAAUGGGAUGCAAAAGGGCGACCUCUCGCAAAUCUCAAAAAGCCGUCUCAGUUCGGAUUGGACUCUGCAACUCGAGUCCAUGAAGUUGGAAUCGCUAGUAAUCGUGGAUCAGCAUGCCACGGUGAAUACGUUCCC
rnacentral:rRNA from 1 species